UGGAUCCAGACUUUGAUUAUGGCUCAGGGUGAACGCUGGCGGCGUGCCUAAUACAUGCAAGCCGAACGAAACUUCUUUAUCACCGAGUGCUUGCACUCACCGAUAAAGAGUUGAGUGGCGAACGGGUGAGUAACACGUGGGCAACCUGCCCGAAAGAGGGGGAUAACACUUGGAAACAGGUGCUAAUACCGCAUAACCAUGAAUACCGCAUGGUAUUUAUGUGAAAGGUGGUUUCGGCUACCGCUUUCGGAUGGGCCCGCGGCGCAUUAGCUAGUUGGUGGGGUAAAGGCUUACCAAGGCAAUGAUGCGUAGCCGAACUGAGAGGUUGAUCGGCCACAUUGGGACUGAGACACGGCCCAAACUCCUACGGGAGGCAGCAGUAGGGAAUCUUCCACAAUGGGCGAAAGCCUGAUGGAGCAACGCCGCGUGGGUGAAGAAGGUCUUCGGAUCGUAAAACCCUGUUGUCAGAGAAGAAAGUGCAUGAGAGUAACUGUUCAUGUUUCGACGGUAUCUGACCAGAAAGCCACGGCUAACUACGUGCCAGCAGCCGCGGUAAUACGUAGGUGGCAAGCGUUAUCCGGAUUUAUUGGGCGUAAAGGGAACGCAGGCGGUCUUUUAAGUCUGAUGUGAAAGCCUUCGGCCUAACCGGAGUAGUGCAUUGGAAGCUGGGAGACUUGAGUGCAGAAGAGGAGAGUGGAACUCCAUGUGUAGCGGUGAAAUGCGUAGAUAUAUGGAAGAACACCAGUGGCGAAAGCGGCUCUCUGGUCUGUAACUGACGCUGAGGUUCGAAAGCGUGGGUAGCAAACAGGAUUAGAUACCCUGGUAGUCCACGCCGUAAACGAUGAAUGCUAAGUGUUGGAGGGUUUCCGCCCUUCAGUGCUGCAGUUAACACAAUAAGCAUUCCGCCUGGGGAGUACGACCGCAAGGUUGCAACUCAAAUGAAUUGACGGA
rnacentral:rRNA from 1 species